UACGAACUGUGCGAACGUUAUUCGGAAUCACUGGGCUUACAGGGUGCGUAGGCGGCCGUUCAGGUCAGGUGUGAAAGCCCUCGGCUCAACCGAGGAACUGCGCUUGAAACCGGAUGGCUCGAGUCAACUAGAGGUGCACGGAACUUCCAGUGGAGCGGUGAAAUGUGUUGAUAUUGGAAGGAACACCGGAGGGCGAAAGCGGUGCACUGGGGGUUGGUCUGACGCUGAGGCACGAAAGCCAGGGGAGCGAACGGGAUU
rnacentral:rRNA from 1 species